CGGCAACAGCUCAAAUUUGAAAUCUGGCCCUCGUGGUCCGAGUUGUAAUUUGUAGAGGAUGCUUUUGGUUAGGUGCCUUCCGAGUUCCCUGGAACGGGACGCCAUAGAGGGUGAGAGCCCCGUCUGGUUGGAUACCGAGCCUCUGUAAAGCUCCUUCGACGAGUCGAGUAGUUUGGGAAUGCUGCUCUAAAUGGGAGGUAUAUGUCUUCUAAAGCUAAAUAUUGGCCAGAGACCGAUAGCGCACAAGUAGAGUGAUCGAAAGAUGAAAAGCACUUUGAAAAGAGGGUUAAAAAGUACGUGAAAUUGUUGAAAGGGAAGCGCUUGUGACCAGACUUGGGCCCGGUCAAUCAUCCAGGGUUCUCCCUGGUGCACUUGGCCGGCCCAGGCCAGCAUCAGUUUGUCGCGGGGGAUAAAGACGUUGGGAAUGUGGCUCCUCCGGGAGUGUUAUAGCCCUUCGUGUAAUACCCUGCUUCGGACUGAGGUUCGCGCAUCUGCAAGGAUGCUGGCGUAAUGGUCAUCAGCGACCCGUCUUGAAACACGGACCAAGGAGUCGUCUUCGUAUGCGAGUGUUCGGGUGUCAAACCCCUACGCGUAAUGAAAGUGAACGCAGGUGAGAGCUUCGGCGCAUCAUCGACCGAUCCUGAUGUUCUCGGAUGGAUUUGAGUAAGAGCAUACGGGGCCGGACCCGAAAGAAGGUGAACUAUGCCUGUAUAGGGUGAAGCCAGAGGAAACUCUGGUGGAGGCUCGCAGCGGUUCUGACGUGCAAAUCGAUCGUCAAAUAUGGGCAUGGGGGCGAA
rnacentral:rRNA from 1 species